rnacentral:rRNA from 1 species
AUGGGUAAGGCAGAGUUGUUCCUUCGGCGAAUGGUUGAUAACAGUGUUCAACCGGAUAGGGUGACAUAUACUAGCAUGAUCCAUGGAUAUUCCACUUUGGGCCGGUGGAAAGAGGCGACGAAAAUGUUCAGAGAAAUGACAGGCAGGGGCCUUAUACCAAAUAUUGUCACUUGGAACUCGUUCAUGGCCUACCUUUGCAAGCAUGGAAAAAGCAAAGAAGCUACAGAAAUUUUCUUUUCCAUGGCUGCAAAGGGCAAUAAGCCUAAUAUCAUCACCUACGGUAUUCUUCUUCAUGGGUAUGGCAAUGAAGAAAGCUUUGUUGAUAUGAUGAGUCUCUUUAAUUCAAUGAAAGGCAACGGUAUUGUGGCCAACCGCCAGGUUUUCAACAUAUUAAUUGAUGCAUAUGCUAAACGAGGACUGAUAGAUGAAGCUGUUCUCAUACUUACUGAAAUGCGGGGACACGGACUGAGUCCGGAUGUAUUACCGAAAAAGGGUUUCCCCCCGCUUUGUAUACAAAGCAACCAACCGAACCAUACAGAGAUAGGUGCUGGGGCGGAAGCAGCACAGUCACGCCCAAAAGAAACGACAGAGAAAGAGCAAAAGAAACAAAUGCCGACAACGGCGGAUCAACAAAAACGAAGAAGCCUCGCGAUCGCUGCACCCACCGGGAUCUUCCAC